rnacentral:rRNA from 1 species
GGUUAAGCGACUAAGCGUACACGGUGGAUGCCCUGGCAGUCAGAGGCGAUGAAGGGCGUGCUAAUCUGCGAUAAGCGCCGGUAAGGUGAUAUGAACCGUUAUAACCGGCGAUACCCGAAUGGGGAAACCCAGUGUGAUUCGUCACACUAUCAUUAACUGAAUCCAUAGGUUAAUGAGGCGAACCGGGGGAACUGAAACAUCUAAGUACCCCGAGGAAAAGAAAUCAACCGAGAUUCCCCCAGUAGCGGCGAGCGAACGGGGAGGAGCCCAGAGCCUGAAUCAGCAUGUGUGUUAGUGGAAGCGUCUGGAAAGGCGCGCGAUACAGGGUGACAGCCCCGUACACAAAAGCGCAUGUGCUGUGAGCUCGAUGAGUAGGGCGGGACACGUGGUAUCCUGUCUGAAUAUGGGGGGACCAUCCUCCAAGGCUAAAUACUCCUGACUGACCGAUAGUGAACCAGUACCGUGAGGGAAAGGCGAAAAGAACCCCGGCGAGGG